rnacentral:rRNA from 1 species
AUCAACUUUCGAUGGUAGGAUAGAGGCCUACCAUGGUGGUAACGGGUAACGGGGUGUUAGGGCACGACACCGGAGAGGGAGCCUGAGAAACGGCUACCACAUCCAAGGAUGGCAGCAGGCGCGCAAAUUACCCAAUCCCGACACGGGGAGGUAGUGACAAUAAAUAACAAUACGGGGUUCUUUCGGAUCUCGUAAUUGGAAUGAGUACAAUUUAAAUCUCUUAACGAGGAACAAUUGGAGGGCAAGUCUGGUGCCAGCAGCCGCGGUAAUUCCAGCUCCAAUAGCGUAUAUUAAAGUUGUUGCAGUUAAAAAGCUCGUAGUUGAAUUUCGGGACCAAUUUGUUGGUCGUGCCUCGGUACGUACUGGUAUUAUUGGUUUCUACCUUCUGAAGAACCUUGAUGUCAUUAAUUUGGUGUCUUGGGGAAUCAGGACUGUUACUUUGAAAAAAUUAGAGUGUUUAAAGCAAGCGUACGCUUGAAUACAUUAGCAUGGAAUAAUGAAAUAGGACGUUUGAUUCUAUUUUGUUGGUUUCUAGGAUCGACGUAAUGACUAAUAGGGAUAGUUGGGGGCAUUAGUAUUCAAUUGUCAGAGGUGAAAUUCUUGGAUUUAUUGAAGACUAACUACUGCGAAAGCAUUUGCCAAGGAUGUUUUCAUUAAUCAAGAACGAAAGUUAGGGGAUCGAAGACGAUCAGAUACCGUCGUAGUCUUAACCAUAAACUAUGCCGACUAGGGAUCGGAUGAUGUUAAUUUUUUAAUGACUCAUUCGGCGCCUUACGGGAAACCAAAGUGUUUGGGUUC